rnacentral:rRNA from 1 species
UACAGAGGGUGCGAGCGUUGUCCGGGAUCACUGGGCGUAAAGGGCGCGUAGGCGGCUCGGUAAGCGUGCGGUGAAAGCCCGGGGCUCAACCCCGGGUCGGCCGUGCGAACUGCAGAGCUGGAGCACUGUAGAGGCAGGUGGAAUUCCGGGUGUAGCGGUGGAAUGCGUAGAGAUCCGGAAGAACACCGGUGGCGAAGGCGGCCUGCUGGGCAGUAGCUGACGCUGAGGCGCGACAGCGUGGGGGAGCAAACAGG